rnacentral:lncRNA from 13 species
CUCUGGGGUCAGGAUGCUCGAUUUAGAAUCUAAGUUCCACCACUUUCUAGCUACAUGACAUUCAGGGAUUGGUUUACUGUCUAAGCCUUAGACCUCGUAGCUGUCUAACGGGGAUGGUAAUACUCCUCUCACAUAAGACACAGGUGUCUCGAAAUGAAGAGAGGUGAGAAAGGGAACAAGACACAGAAUUUGACAAUACCAAUAAUUCGUGUGUAAGGCUGUUUUGUUGAAAGCACAUCCCGGAGCCCGUGGAAACCUGAGGAGGGAAGUAUUAGGUGUGUUUCAUACCUGGCAGCGGACGAUUUCACGACAGGCUGGCUGCAAAGAGCAGCGUUCAUCUGAUUUUGGCUUCCUCUGAUGAAACUUGGCAUGGCAUAGCACAACUACGUUACUUCUCUACUUCCCGAUGUUUUGAAUUGAAAGAUGUGUGUUGAGUUAGAAAAUUACUGAUGAAGAAACAAGGAGUCUAAGCCAGAUUCAACAGAUAAAGAGGUAACUCCCCUCAUGAGUUAA